rnacentral:rRNA from 1 species
UACGGAGGGUGCAAGCGUUAUCCGGAUUUACUGGGUUUAAAGGGUGUGUAGGCGGGCUUGUAAGUCAGGGGUGAAAUCCUACAGCUUAACUGUAGAACUGCCUUUGAUACUAUAAGUCUUGAAUAUUGUUGAGGUGGGCGGAAUACAUCAUGUAGCGGUGAAAUGCCUAGAUAUGAUGUAGAACACCGAUUGCGAAGGCAGCUCACCAAGCAAAUAUUGACGCUGAGGCACGAAAGCGUGGGGAGCAAACAGG